rnacentral:rRNA from 1 species
AGGAUGAACGCUGGCGGCGUGCUUAACACAUGCAAGUCGAACGGUGAAAGAGGAGCUUGCUCCUCUGGAUCAGUGGCGAACGGGUGAGUAACACGUGAGCAACCUGCCCUUAGCUUCGGGAUAGCUCCGGGAAACCGGAAUUAAUACCGAAUAUGACUUUGGCUGACAUCAGCAGAAGUGGAAAGUUUUUCGGCUAGGGAUGGACUCGCGGCCUAUCAGCUAGUUGGUGAGGUAACGGCCCACCAAGGCGACGACGGGUA